CCAGCCUGCAUUUUCUAUCGUUUUCGUGACUCCAGUUGUUGGACGAUGAAAUUCAGGAGGGAGGGAUGAGAUAUCUCCAGAGGCUUAGUUUAACAUCAUCAAAGCCUCUUCCCUCCCCCUUGCACAUUACAGUAUCUGCUUUACUAAUCAGAGGGAAAUUUAUCAUGUAGGAUUUAGGGGAGAUAUUUAUGGUGCCUGUAAGCACAAUGGCUUUGCCUUGUAUGAUGUCAGCUAUUCUCCUGAGGAGAUACAAGACCACAGCUGGUGUGGGAGUCAAUUCGAGAGGGCCGCUUAGAAGAUCGUGGAAAGAGGGAGUGAGACACAUCGUCCCUUUAGGUCCUCACAGCAGUUGUUUAAAAACCUGACCGAUAAGGAAGGUGAAACUCAGGGGGAUUGUUACUUGCCUGGUGAGAUCUUCUCUAAGGUGAGUAAUGACUUUGUGAGAGACCGAGUUGGAAGUUGCCAGCAUGAGGAAGACAAAAUGAGAAUGGUCUGAUCAGCAGAGAAAAACUCUUCCAUGAGUGGACCUCAGGAGCCACAGAACUCUUCUGAAAUGGUAAGAAUUUUCUUUGUCUCAGAAACCUUUUUUUCUCAUUGUAAGCAAUACAAGAUGGCUGAAGCACAGUGACAUAUUUAAACAGGAGAUGGCCUCUUUGUGUAUAUGAUUACAGCGGCAGAGGAAACAACCAUAGGAUAAAACAUGCAUCUGAUCACUAAAAGUACGAAUUCUAUUAGCUACGUUGAAUUCAGCUCUCCCUGUGGCCAGGCCCGAUGCUAAAGGCUUUACAUACACUUCCUCCCUGAUUCCUACAAACAAGUCAAUGAGCUGGCGCGAUGGUUAUUGUCCCCAUUUUAUGAAUGAGGUGAUUGUGGAUUAGCAUGUUAAGGUGGCUUAAAUUUAGCAAGGGAGACAGAUAUUAGACCAAUAAUCACACAGACAAAUAUAUGAUUGUAAACUGUGUUAACUUUACAAUCGGAGCCAGUGAAGCACAGAGGUAAAGAAUCAGGCAGGAGUCUGGCAACUCACUGCUUAUGUUUGAAUCCUAGCGCUGCCACUUACUAAUG
rnacentral:lncRNA from 1 species